rnacentral:rRNA from 1 species
AUGCAUGUCUAAGUACAAGCCGUGUACACGGCGAGACUGCGGACGGCUCAUUAAAUCGGUUAUGACUCCACUGGGGACAGACUCACCCGUGGAUAACGUGCGGUAACUCCGGUGCUAAUACAUGCAACAAGGCUCCGACCCCGUCCUCGCGGCGGGGGAAGGGCGCACUUAUUAGGCGAAAACCAAUCGCCCGCUCGCGCGGGCGUUGGUGGACGACACCCGAGUAAUUGCCGCCGAUCGCACGGCCCUCGAGCCGGCGACACCUUCACUGAGUUUCUGAUCUAUCAUGCUGACGACGGUUGGUGCUAUGCCAACCGUGGCGUUAACGGAUAACAGAGAAUCUGGGUUCGAUUCUGGAGAGGCCGCAUGAGAAACGGCGACCACUUCCAAGGAAGGCAGCAGGCACGCAAAUUACCCACUUCGGACACCGAGAGGUAGUGACGAACAAUACCGAUGCGGCGCACUAACGUGUCGCCGUAAUCGGAAUGAGUACACUUCAAAUCCUUUAACGAGGAUCCACUGGAGGGCAAGCCUGGU